UUUAUAUUGUCAUUGUCAUUUUGUAUUUGAGACAGAAUCUUUAAGUGACGUAUAAAUUCAUUUAUUUACUAUGGGCAUUUUCGUUUCGUUUACAUAAAUAAUAUAUGAUGGAUUGAAGAGUUUUCAGAUGUUUUGGUUAACACCUUGGAAAAGUAACUGACACACAAAUAGGAAACCAAACAUGAUGUCGCGAUGAACAUUGAUAAACAGUACGAUCCUCAAGAAGAAUGUUCAAUAUUACAAUCACAUGGGUGUGAGCACCGAUAACCACUAUCAUAUAAAAAGACCAGAAACUUGAAUGCUGCGUAAUCAAAGUUUCAGUCUAGCAGUCGAAGUCAGACAGUCAAGCUGUGUGUUUUUAAAAUAUUCAAGAUGGAUUUGUCCAAACUAAACAUCACUUCAAUUACAGAAAGAAAAAGUAUAUUGAAAUUGAAGAAUAUACCUGUAGGAGAACCCCAGAAAAUAUUGUCGGCAAGAGAGGUCACAAGCAAGUUUGGACCAACAAUUUUAUUGGAGCUGAAGAAUAACUCCACGACGUGUCACCGCAGAAUACAAGCCAUUUUUGACUUAAUUCACUGGAGGAAAAUAUUCGUUAGUUUACGAGGGAACUAUCGACGUGGGAAAACCUCAGCCGGCUGAUCCAUUCGGAAUAGUGGAGAGUUAAAGUUUUUUGGAAAAAU